AGGUGGUGCAUGGUUGUCGUCAGCUCGUGUCGUGAGAUGUUGGGUUAAGUCCCGCAACGAGCGCAACCCCUAUUGUUAGUUGCCAUCAUUCAGUUGGGCACUCUAGCGAGACUGCCGGUAAUAAACCGGAGGAAGUGGGAUGACGUCAAAUCAUCAUGCCCCUUAUGACCUGGGCUACACACGUGCUACAAUGGUUGGUACAACGAGUUGCGAGUCGGUGACGGCGAGCUAAUCUCUUAAAGCCAAUCUCAGUUCGGAUUGUAGGCUGCAACUCGCCUACAUGAAGUCGGAAUCGCUAGUAAUCGCGGAUCAGCACGCCGCGGUGAAUACGUUCCCGGGCCUU
rnacentral:rRNA from 1 species